rnacentral:rRNA from 1 species
UCCUACGGGACGCAGCAGUGGGGAAUAUUGGGCAAUGGGCGCAAGCCUGACCCAGCCAUGCCGCGUGAGUGAUGAAGGCCUUCGGGUCGUAAAGCUCUGUGGGGAGGGAAGAAACACCUUGUGGCUAAUAUCCACGAGGCUUGACGGUACCUCCUUAGCAAGCACCGGCUAACUCCGUGCCAGCAGCCGCGGUAAUACGGAGGGUGCAAACGUUGCUCGGAAUCAUUGGGCGUAAAGCGCACGUAGGCGGUCUGUUAAGUCGGAUGUGAAAGCCCCGGGCUCAACCCGGGAAGUGCAUUCGAAACUGGCAGGCUUGAAUAUGGAAGAGGGUCGCGGAAUUCCCGGUGUAGAGGUGAAAUUCGUAGAUAUUGGGAGGAACACCAGUGGCGAAGGCGGCGACCUGGGCCAAUAUUGACGCUGAGGUGCGAAAGCGUGGGGAGCAAACAGGAUUAGAUACCCCAGUAGUCG